rnacentral:rRNA from 1 species
UCUGGUUGAUCCUGCCAGUAGUCAUAUGCUUGUCUUAAAGAUUGAGCCAUGCAUGUCUAAGUAUAAACACUUGUACUUGUGAAACUGCGAAUGGCUCAUUAAAUCAGUUAUAAUUUAUUUGAUGGUCUCUUUACUACUUGGAUAACCGUGGUAAAUCUAGAGCUAAUACAUGCAUAAAAUCCUGACUAGUGCGCUUUAUAGUACUGGGAGGGAUGUAUUUAUUAGAUUCAAAAGCCAAUGCCAUCUUUUUCGGAGGAUGGAAAUUCUUUCAAUGGUGAUUCAUGAUAACUUUACGAAUCGCACGGCCUUUUGUGCUGGCGAUAGUUCAUUCAAAUAUCUGCCCUAUCAACUUUCGAUGGUAGUAUAGAGGACUACCAUGGUGGUAACGGGUAACGGAGAAUCAGGGUUUGAUUCCGGAGAAGGAGCCUGGGAAACGGCUACUACUUCCAAGGAAGGCAGCAGGCGCGCAAAUUACCCAAUCCCGACACGGGGAGGUAGUGACAAAAAAUAACAAUACCGGUCUUAUUUAAGUCUGGUAAUUGGAAUGAGUACAAUCUAAACCUUUUAACGAGUAUCAAUUGGAGGGCAAGUCUGGUGCCAGCAGCCGCGGUAAUUCCAGCUCCAAUAGCAUAUAUUAAAGUUGUUGCAGUUAAAAAGCUCGUAGUUGGAUUUCGAAGUUAACAUAUCGCGACCCGCCUUUUUAGGGUGUGUUUGUUGUGGUAUGUUCUUCUCCUUACUAGAUUUUCACUAUUGCACUUAAUUGAGUGAUAGUUUUGCUUCGAUUCGUCGGGGUGAGUGAUGGGCGGACCUAUUGGGUUAGGAUUGUGGAUGAGGCGCUUCUUCGGAGGAGUCGUGUUCUGCCUGAUUCAGUAACCGUUCAUUAGAAUUCUAGUUCUUUUACUUUGAGUAAAUUAGAGUGUUCAAGGCAAGCAAAAUUACUUUUUCUGCAAUGAAUACUAUUAGCAUGGGAUAAUGGAACAGGACACGUAUUCUAGUUUUUCGUUGGUUUCUAGAAUUUUUAUUAUUAGUGUAAUAAUUAAAAGGGACAGUUGGGGGCAUUCGUAUUUCAUUGUCAGAGGUGAAAUUCUUGGAUUUAUGAAAGACGAACUUCUGCGAAAGCAUUUGUCAAAGAUGUUUUCAUUAAUCAAGAACGAAAGUUAGGGGAUCGAAGACGAUCAGAUACCGUCGUAGUCUUAACCAUAAACUAUGCCGACCAGGGAUUGGAAGACGU